UUUUCCAGAGAUGGAUUAGUGCCUUCGGGAACACUGAGACAGGUGCUGCAUGGCUGUCGUCAGCUCGUGUUGUGAGAUGUUGGGUUAAGUCCCGCAACGAGCGCAACCCUUAUCCUUAGUUGCCAGCACGUAAUGGUGGGAACUCUGGGGAGACUGCCGGUGAUAAACCGGAGGAAGGUGGGGACGACGUCAAGUCAUCAUGGCCCUUACGGGAUGGGCUACACACGUGCUACAAUGGCGCAUACAAAGGGCAGCGAACCUGCGAAGGUAAGCGAAUCUCAUAAAGUGCGUCGUAGUCCGGAUUGGAGUCUGCAACUCGACUCCAUGAAGUCGGAAUCGCUAGUAAUCGUGGAUCAGAAUGCCACGGUGAAUACGUUCCCGGGCCUUGUACACACCGCCCGUCACACCAUGGGA
rnacentral:rRNA from 1 species